GGAAUGAUUGGGCGUAAAGUGUCUGUAGGUGGCUUUUUAAGUCUGCCAUCAAAUCCUAGGGCUCAACUCUGGACAGGCGGUGGAAACUACCAAGUUGGAGUACGAUAGGGGUAGAGGGAAUUUCCAAUGGAGCAGUGAAAUGCGUAGAGAUCAAAAAGAACACCAACAGCGAAAGCACUCUGUUGGGCCGACACCGACACUAAUACUGAUAGACGAAAGCUAGGGGAGCGAAUGAGUUCCGACUCUUCGUC
rfam:Gossypium raimondii Chr09_contig_540, whole genome shotgun sequence.